CCUACGGGUUGCAGCAGUGGGGAAUAUUGGACAAUGUGCGCAAGCCUGAUCCAGCCAUGCCGCGUGUGUGAAGAAGGCCUUUUGGUUGUAAAGCACUUUAAGCGAGGAGGAGGCUCCUUUAGUUAAUACCUAAAGUGAGUGGACGUUACUCGCAGAAUAAGCACCGGCUAACUCUGUGCCAGCAACCGCGGUAAUACAGAGGGUGCGAGCGUUAAUCGGAUUUACUGGGCGUAAAGCGUGCGUAGGCGGCUUUUUAAGUCGGAUGUGAAAUCCCUGAGCUUAACUUAGGAAUUGCAUUCGAUACUGGAAAGCUAGAGUGUGGGAGAGGAUGGUAGAAUUCCAGGUGUAGCGGUGAAAUGCGUAGAGAUCUGGAGGAAUACCGAUGGCGAAGGCAGCCAUCUGGCCUAAUACUGACGCUGAGGUACGGAAGCAUGGGGAGCAAACAGGAUUAGAUACCCGAGUAGUC
rnacentral:rRNA from 1 species